rnacentral:rRNA from 1 species
UACGUAGGGUGCAGGCGUUAAUCGGAAUUACUGGGCGUAAAGGGCGCGUAGGCGGUGUGUCAAGUCAGGCGUGAAAGCCCCGGGCUCAACCUGGGAACCGCGCUUGAGACUGGCACGCUCGAGUUCGGGAGAGGAUGGUGGAAUUCCCAGUGUAGAGGUGAAAUUCGUAGAUAUUGGGAAGAACACCGAUGGCGAAGGCAGCCAUCUGGACCGACACUGACGCUGAGGCGCGAAAGCGUGGGGAGCAAACAGG